UUUUUGAUUAAUAAUUUAAAGUCUAAUCUGCCCACUGAUAAUAAAUUAAAGGGCUGCAGUAUUUUGACUGUACAAAGGUAGCAUAAUCAUUAGUCUCUUAAUUGGUGACUUGUAUGAAGGAUUUGAUGAAAUAUAUACUGUCUCUUUUUAAUUUAUAAAAUUUAAUUUUUUAGUUAAAAAGCUAAAAUGAAUUUAAAAGACGAGAAGACCCUAUAGAGUUUUAUAUUCAUAUAAAUUAAAAUUUUUUAUAAGAUUUAAAAUCUUAAUUUAUAUGAAUAUUUUGUUGGGGUGAUAGAAAAAUUAAAAUAACUUUUUUUAUAAUUUUACAUUAAUAAAUGAAUAAAUGAUCCGUAAUUUACGAUUAUAAGAUAAAAUUACCUUAGGGAUAACAGCGUAAUUUUUUUUUUUAGUUCAAAUAAGAAAAAAAGUUUGCGACCUCGAUGUUGGAUUAAGAUAAAAUUUAAAUGCAAAAGUUUAAAAUUUUUGAUCUGUUCGAUCAUUAAAAUCUUACA
rnacentral:rRNA from 1 species